UGAGUAACGCGUGAGGAACCUGCCUUCCAGAGGGGGACAACAGUUGGAAACGACUGCUAAUACCGCAUGACACAUGACCGUGGCAUCACGGACAUGUCAAAGAUUUAUCGCUGGAAGAUGGCCUCGCGUCUGAUUAGCUAGUAGGCGGGGUAACGGCCCACCUAGGCGACGAUCAGUAGCCGGACUGAGAGGUUGACCGGCCACAUUGGGACUGAGAUACGGCCCAGACUCCUACGGGAGGCAGCAG
rnacentral:rRNA from 1 species